ACACUCCUGCGGGAGGCAGCAGUGAGGAAUAUUGGACAAUGGGUGGAAGCCUGAUCCAGCCAUCCCGCGUGCAGGAAGACGGCCCUAUGGGUUGUAAACUGCUUUUAUCUGGGGAUAAACCUACUUACGUGUAAGUAGCUGAAGGUACCAGAAGAAUAAGCACCGACUAACUCCGUGCCAGCAGCCGCGGUAAUACGGAGGGUGCAAGCGUUAUCCGGAUUUAUUGGGUUUAAAGGGUCCGUAGGCGGACUGAUAAGUCAGUGGUGAAAUCCGACAGCUUAACUGUCGAACUGCCAUUGAUACUGUUAGUCUUGAGUAAGGUUGAAGUGGCUGGAAUAAGUAGUGUAGCGGUGAAAUGCAUAGAUAUUACUUAGAACACCAAUUGCGAAGGCAGGUCACUAAGUCUUAACUGACGCUGAUGGACGAAAGCGUGGGGAGCGAACAGGAUUAGAAACCCGGGUAGUCCCA
rnacentral:rRNA from 1 species